rnacentral:rRNA from 1 species
AGUGAACGCUGGCGGUAGGCCUAACACAUGCAAGUCGAACGGCAGCACAGUAAGAGCUUGCUCUUACGGGUGGCGAGUGGCGGACGGGUGAGGAAUACAUCGGAAUCUACUUUUUCGUGGGGGAUAACGUAGGGAAACUUACGCUAAUACCGCAUACGACCUACGGGUGAAAGCAGGGGAUCUUCGGACCUUGCGCGAUUGAAUGAGCCGAUGUCGGAUUAGCUAGUUGGCGGGGUAAAGGCCCACCAAGGCGACGAUCCGUAGCUGGUCUGAGAGGAUGAUCAGCCACACUGGAACUGAGACACGGUCCAGACUCCUACGGGAGGCAGCAGUGGGGAAUAUUGGACAAUGGGCGCAAGCCUGAUCCAGCCAUACCGCGUGGGUGAAGAAGGCCUUCGGGUUGUAAAGCCCUUUUGUUGGGAAAGAAAAGCAGCAGGUUAACACCCCGCUGUUCUGACGGUACCCAAAGAAUAAGCACCGGCUAACUUCGUA